UAUUCCUGUACCACCUAUAAUCGUUUUAAUCGAUGGGGGGACGCAGUAGGAUAGGCGAAGCGUGCGAUUGGAUUGCACGUCUAAGCAGUAAGGCUGAGUAUUAGGCAAAUCCGGUACUCGUUAAGGCUGAGCUGUGAUGGGGAGAAGACAUUGUGUCUUCGAGUCGUUGAUUUCACACUGCCGAGAAAAGCCUCUAGAUAGAAAAUAGGUGCCCGUACAGCAAACCGACACAGGUAGUCAAGAUGAGAAUUCUAAGGUGAGCGAGCGAACUCUCGUUAAGGAACUCGGCAAAAUGACCCCGUAACUUCGGGAGAAGGGGUGCUCUUUAGGGUUAACGCCCAGAAGAGCCGCAGUGAAUAGGCCCAAGCGACUGUUUAUCAAAAACACAGGUCUCUGCUAAACCGUAAGGUGAUGUAUAGGGGCUGACGCCUGCCCGG
rnacentral:rRNA from 1 species